rnacentral:rRNA from 1 species
GGGGCACGGGGGGCCUACGGGAGGCAGCAGUGGGGAAUAUUGCACAAUGGGCGCAAGCCUGAUGCAGCCAUGCCGCGUGUGUGAAGAAGGCCUUCGGGUUGUAAAGCACUUUCAGCGGGGAGGAAGCGGUGAGGUUAAUACCUCAUCGAUUGACGUUACCCGCAGAAGAAGCACCGGCUAACACCGU